rnacentral:rRNA from 1 species
CCUACGGGAGGCAGCAGUGGGGAAUUUUGGACAAUGGGGGAAACCCUGAUCCAGCCAUCCCGCGUGUGCGAUGAAGGCCUUCGGGUUGUAAAGCACUUUUUGCAGGAAAGAAACGUCGCGGGUUAAUACCUCGCGAAACUGACGGUACUGCAGAA